UCUGAUGCAGCGACGCCGCGUGGGCGAUGAAGGCUUUCGGAUUGUAAAGCCCUUUUCUGGGUGACGAGAAAGGACGGUACCACAGGAAUAAGUGUCGGCUAACUACGUGCCAGCAGCCGCGGUAAUACGUAGGACGCAAACGUUAUCCGGAGUUACUGGGCGUAAAGCGCGCGCAGGCGGUUGGGUAAGUUACCUGUGAAAGCUCCCGGCUAAACCGGGAGAAGCCAGCCGAUACUGCCUAACUAGAGAGAGACAGAGGGAAGUAGAAUUCCGGGUGUAGUGGUGAAAUGCGUAUAUUUCGGGAGGAAUACCAGUGGCAAAAGCGGCUUCCUGGGGCCUCAACCUGACGCUGAAGCGCCGAAACCUGGGGUAACCAAAGGGAUUAAAACCCC
rnacentral:rRNA from 1 species